UACUAGAGUAGCACUCGCAUAUCAAUAAGCGGAGGAAAAGAAACUAACUAGGAUUCCCUUAGUAACGGCGAGUGAAGCGGGAAGAGCUCAAAUUUGAAAUCUUCAAGGUUCUACCUUGACGAAUUGUAGUUUAUAGAAGUGUUUUCUGUUAGUAGAGUGGCAAAAGUUCUUUGGAAUAGGACAUCAUAGAGGGUGAGAAUCCCGUAUUUGGUCAUUCUUUCUAGCUUUGUGAUACACUUUCAACGAGUCGGAUUGUUUGGGAAUGCAGUCCAAAAUGGGUGGUAAAUUUCAUCUAAAGCUAAAUAUUGGCGAGAGACCGAUAGCGAACAAGUACCGUGAGGGAAAGAUGAAAAGAACUUUGAAAAGAGAGUUAAACAGUACGUGAAAUUGUCAAAAGGGAAGCGUUUGACACCAGUGUUGUUUUCUCGAAAAUCAAUUAAAAAUGGUGGGAUUUUGUGUUGUAUUGACUUUAUCAGCUUUCUGCACUUUUUUCUUAUCUUUUUUAAUGCACUUUUCGUUUAACAAGUCAACAUCAAUUUCUUUUGUUGUAAAGGAGUCAUUGGAAGGUGGCUUUUUCUUCGGAAAAAGUGUUUAUAGCCUUUGGCUUCUGCAAUCGGAGAGAUUGAGGUCUGCAGCGUAGAUCCUUCGGGGUUAGAUACAUUUGUGCUAAGCUUAUAGUUCUUUUAUAGACAACUUGUUGACUAUGCUCGAUCAUGUAGCUUACUCGCUUAUGCUAUUUUACCUACGCUUAGGAUGUUGAAGAUGUAGCACAUCAU
rnacentral:rRNA from 1 species